rnacentral:misc_RNA from 1 species
UUCUUCCACGGCGGUGGUUUUGCCUUCAUGGCACCCAGUUCUAAAACUUUUGAUGAAUUUUGCUACGGCCUUGCCAGGGAACUCUCCGCUAUCAUCAUCUCCGUUAACUAUCGCCUAUCUCCAGAGCAUCGUUGCCCUUUUCAAUACGAAGAUGCUUUCGAUACUCUAAAAUUCAUCGACACCGCAAAAAUUGAAGGCUUUUCAGGCAACGCCAAUCUCAAACAGUGUUUUAUUGCUGGAGAUAGCGCAGGGGGCAACUUGGUGCAUCAUGUAGCACUAAAAGCAAGUGAACAUGAGUUUUCUAAUCUAAAACUUACUGGAAACAUAUCAAUACAACCAUUUUUUGGAGGAGAAGAACGAACUGAAUCUGAUUUGAGAUUAACCCGAGCUCCAUUUGUUACCAUGGAGCGUGCAGAUUGGAUGUGGAAAGCAUUCUCGCCGGAGGGUUCAAACAGGGACCAUCCGGCGGCAAAUGUUUUUGGGCCGAAGUCGGUUGAUAUUUCCGGAGUUAAGUUUCCAGCAACGAUCAUUUUUGUUGGAGGAUUUGAUCUUUUGCAGGACAGGCAAGAAAGAUGCUAUGAAGGGUUGAAGAAAUCUGGAAAAGAAGCGUAUUUGGUUGAGUUUCCCAAUGCCCCACACUCAUUUUACGCUUUUCCUGAGCUGACUGAAUUUUCUUUGUUCAUAAAGGAAACGAAGGAUUUUAUGCAAAAGCAAUUAGCAUCUAAUAUAUUAUUGAAGGAAAUUCUGGUUGUUGAAUUACAAUUCUUGGGUCUUGAGCUUCGGCCACGACAGGG